ensembl:lincRNA
AGAGAGGGUUGGGAAGAAACUUAGAGUCAUUUCCAGACAGGGUGGAACAAGACCAUCCCUGAGAAAUGGGUUCAGAUGAAACAGCAGCAGGAACUAAGAACCCAAGAAAAGCCAACCCCCAGUCAACUUUAGCUUUGCUUUGGAACACAGAACUAUGAAAGUCUGAGAAGGAAGCAAGAUGUUUUUUGUCCCCCAGUCUCCUCCUAAAGCUUAGCACUAGAGGCGCUGCCUCAUAAAAACGGCUCGUGCAGGCUUUCUGUGGAGUGGACCCUCCUUACCAAGAUCUAAGUUCCAUGUGUGUGUACAAAGCCAGCUUUCUAACCAGGGAGCUGCAGGACGAUCUGACCACUGCAUGCCAGGGAAGGCCGUCUUGAAAGCACAGUCACAUCCCUUCAUUGUUCUGCUUGGAAUCAUCUGCUCACUUCUGGAAAGUGUAGCAAAACUGAGGUGAAACCGGGUUAAGUUGUUCUGGAUGUACUGCUACAAGUCAUUUGGACCUGGGGCAAGAGCCAGAAGUUCCAUGGUACCGACACGGUGCAAACCAUGGAUGGGAACACGCCGUGUCUUCGUAGGCCUGCCUUAGGGUUACACGGCAUUGGCAGCAACAUUCACUGCUCUUCAUCACACCUUGUAGACACUUAAAAGAAGACUUCCAGAACUGUUUCAGAAAGUGGCAAGAAAACCAAGAUGUGUACUCAAAGUAAGGGUGGGUAUUUUU